AUGGUAAUUUACCAACAAAUCUGAAAGAAGCUUCACAUCAGAUUUGCAACGAAAAAGUGGUUUUCUACACAACUGGUUUUAUUAAGAAACAAACUUUUUACGAAUCCCCCUGUAAACUCUUAGCAUUUCCACUUGGUACAUCCAGGAAAGUGGUUUUCACUUUAAAGAAAGGAGAUCCGCUCCGUAAAUUUUUGAACCAUCAUAUUCAGAAAUACAGAGAAAGUGGUUUACUAUCUUGGGAAAAAAAACUGCAUCUUGUAAAAAAAGAAUCCAUAAAUGAUAUUUCAUUGAGUAUUACUGACGUCACUCCGUUGCUAGUACUAUUAAUUAGUGGAUUUGUCCUAAGCUUAAUAAUAUUUUUAUUCGAAAAGUAUCAUAGUCACUUAAUAUUAUUUUUAAUAAGGAAACCAUGCAAGAAAA